GAUGAACGCUGGCGGCAUGCCUAAUACAUGCAAGUCGAGCGAACGGACGAGAAGCUUGCUUCUCUGAUGUUAGCGGCGUACGGGUGAGUAACACGUGGAUAACCUACCUUUAAGACUCGGAUAACUUCGCGAAACCGUAGCUAAUACCGGCUAAUAUUUUGAACCGCAUGUUUCAACAGUGUAAGACGGUCUUGCUUUCACUUAUAGAUGGAUCCGCGCUGCAUUAGCUAGUUGGUAAGGUAACUGCUUACCAAGGCAACGAUGCGUAGCCGACCUGAGAGGAUGAUCGGCCACACUGGAACUGAGACACGGUCCAGACUCCUACGGGAGGCAGCAGUAGGGAAUCUUGAGCAAUGGGCGAAAGACUGACGGAGAAACACCGCGUGAGUGAUGAAGGUAUUCGGAUCGUAAAACGCUGUUAUUAGGAAAGAAAAGAGGUGUAAGUAGCUGUGCACAUCAUGACGGUACCAAAAGAAAAAGCCACGGCUAACUACGUG
rnacentral:rRNA from 1 species